CAGAAGAGAAAAGUAUCAGAGGUUUUAUUUUACAAUGCUGAAUACUGAAGAGCUUGUCAUGGUUCUGACAGAGUCCAGUUACAAUGGACAACAUGGAAAGGAAAUUUUAGAGUGAGAAAACCUAGGAACCCCUUUUCCAAGGUUACUGGACCUCUCCGAAAAUCAUGGAUCCAUCAGGACAGUUUGUUUUUGGAACCCAUGUUCUAACAUUUUGUAACUCUUUAUUUUUGCACAGUUCACUGACAUAAUAUACCACAUUAUACAAUACAUAUUAAUAAAUGCAAACGAUAUCAACAGCAGAAAACAAGUAUGUUAGUGUGUAUGUGAAAAGGAAUAAACAAAGGUUAGUGAACUGAGGAUUUUAAAUUGAGGCAGUAGGUGUAGAUAGCUGAUCAAUGUUAAAGCUAGAAGAGGAUGAGGAAACAUCACAAAUCACUUGGUGUAUUAACACCAGGUUAGCACAGGUAGUACCAGCAUGCCAGAACAUGAGUAAUAUUAAUUAGAAAUAACUAAUACCCUUGCCCUACAAUGCUAGGGAAUCCUAGAAAAACAAGGGGAUGAGCUGGGUUAGUGACACUUGUGUGUUAGUAGCCUGGUGGCAAAUUGUUAAAUGGUCACUGCACAACAACUGGUUGGUAAAUGGAAUAUUAACAUUAGGCUGAACCUAACUAGUAAAACGACUAAGUACUAUGCUAAUUUGACAGGAGAAAAUGCAAGUAUCAAGCAAUAAAAUAUGAUUAUGACUAGUACAGCUGCUUAAACAAUGCCUAACACUAAAAGAAAGUGAGAAAGAAAACAAAUAGAGAGAUAUAAAAAGAAAGGGCACUGGAGACCCACAGGGUGCAAAACAAUAAGUUGCUAGAAGACUAAUUUUAUGAAUUUUAUGAAUUAAGGGCAUUAGAAGACUAGGAUGGGAUCUGGCCCAGUAAGAUGGUCCUUCAGCCUACUCCAACCUCUGGCAUGUCCGGUUGUAAUGAAGACAGAGUCCUGGCACAUAAGUCCAGCCAACAGCACUCCACCAGCCCCAGUGAUCUACACGAGAAUGCAUCCAACGCCCAAAGAUCUGGCCCUGUAUUGAGCCAAAAUCGGUGUACCUGGGACUUCUUUGUGCCUCCAGCAUCGGCAGGCAACCAUCCAGGGCUUAGGAUAGGAAUGAGGUCUACUUCUCAAGGCCCAAGACCUAGGUAAGUGGCUACAAAGACCAGUCCUGAGUAUUGAGAAUAAGUUCGUAAGCAGCCGGAUGCCCUCUUCCUUGUGCUGGGGAAAUGCAAGAAUAGUGGUGAUCCAGAAUUUGGAGCAUAAGUCAACAAAUGCCUUCAUGAAGGAAACCUUCUCCAAGCUUAACACUGUUGUUGGUAUUGAAAGGGCCUGUGUGGCAGCCAUAGUAGAAUUGCCAGAACACCAAAAGCAGGAUCUGCUAUUGUCACCAGCGAUGCAGCUUCUGAUCCCUCCUGUUGGGACUGCCACUGGUCCAAGGGUGGGAGGAAACAUGACCAGCAGUGUACCAUUGUCGGGGGGAUACUGUGCAGAUGGGCAAGAGAGCUAAGCGGCAGCCGUCUAAUCCACUCUACGCCCGAAUAGGCCGCAACCUUAGAGACCUUGAUUUGCCCACAAGGGCUUCAAUUCAAUUCCAGGGUGCACCAACAGCACAUGUAAACACUUGCUCAAAUAGCCCUAGGUUUCCAGUACAGAGUGAAUGUAAUAGUCAGUGCAAAUGUCGAUAAAUGUAAAAAACCUAAGGAGCCAAGCCUACAUGCGGCCAGUCAUCAUGGUGGUCCCGCCCCCGUUCUACCAUUUUGGUUUUAUUCUCUGGUGUCUAAUUUGUGGGACAACAUGAGAAUUUCCCCCAAAAUACAAUGGAAUUGCAUUAACAAAUAUUUUUAUGGCUGCAUGUUGUAACUGGAGGGCAUUUCAGACCAUUCAAGUGUAUUUCCAGGCAAAUACUCCUCUCUAUUGUGGUUUUAGGACAUACAUUGACAAAGUCACUGCUUGCUAAGAGGCUAAACAUUUUAUCAUAGUGUCGGGUUUCCCCCAUGUUCUUUUCUUCUGCUUGUCAAACACCUUUAGUGGAGAAGUGACAUCUUAGGAAAUAACCCUGCACACUCACAUCAGGACAGAUCCUUUUUGUUGUCUUCUUAUUAGAAAUAAAAAUGCUAAGCGAUCACUAGUGUAAACAUAUUAAUUUGAAAUAUCUUUGUAAUUAUGCUAAAAAUGAAGUGCAGGAAAGUACAAACACCCAAUAUAUACCCAUUAUAAAUAACUAAUAGGCAAUAACACCUGAUGAAAUAGUGAUUUGAUUAGUGUAUUGUGUCCUAAAUAUGACACCCAGUAUCCUCUUUUAAUUUGUUCAUUUUUGAAUGGAGGUUUUAUUUGCAUAGUUUGGCAAAAGCAUAAUUAAGCUCAACAUUUCAAGACACCCAAAUGAAAGCAAUUCCUAUUUUUUUUUUGCCAUUAUAUGGCUUACAUUAUUAUAUUUGAAGAGACACAAGCUAUGAGACCCUAAAAAAAAAAAAUUCUAUAUUUUCUGAGAUUUCCUACAAUUUAAAACAUUUUUAAUCCAAUGGAUCUCAGAGUCACACACUAUAAAUAAAAUUCUAAUGAUCUGGUACAAGCAGCUAAUAGUAAUUUGCAUGCUUAUCAACUUGUAUUGCAUUGAUCAGAAACACCAUUAAUUGUUAAUUGAAUAAUUAUCCAGAUUCUCAUAGGGUUGGGACUGAUUAAUGAGACUAAAUCCCUUGAGUGAAAUUGAAAGCGCUAAUCAUAUACAUUACCUUACCCUCUAUUUCUUGUGCUUUUUAAUCAGAGCAUUCUAAUGGAGUUUCUAUAUUAACCACACAAUUCUAUGUACUAUAAUUUGUGCAUUCUAGUCAUCUCUCACUGCACUUUCUAAAUCUUUUCUGUGUUAUCAGAUACCUGAACUCCACUGUCUGCAUAAUGAGCUGUAUCAGACUUGUAAACAGGCCCGUACAAUGUGCACAUACAAUAAACUGUGGUUCCAGACACAAAUAAGAAUGAACACAGUUGCAAACAGUAAUGGAGGUGACCAAGCGUAAGAGACUUGAUAUGUAUCAUAUAAGGAGCUAUUGCAGGCAGAGAAGUAAAUAAAAAAGAUUUGCAUUUUAUAAAUGCGUUUAUAGAUAUUUCAGAACAGGUCAUGUAAUCCAAUAUGUCUACCAUACUGCAUGACAAAUGGGCUGCAUAUUGAAGAUGGCAAAGGGAGCUAUAUAAAUCUAUUAUGUCUACAAUUUCAAAGAAGUUUUUUUUUGUUUGUUUUUUACAAGCAGCUUUGAUUUGGCGUUUCUCUGAAUAAUACAUUUAAGGAAUUGUGACAAAUUCGAAAUGGCUGCCAAACCACACAAGUGAUUAAUAAAAAUAGGUGGCCAUGCAUAACAGCAUGCAUACAACACAUGCAUAGAUAUCGCAUGUAGAAUAGUUAACUAAAUAGAUGUCAAAUCCAAAAUGGCUUCUGACAUUUGUUAUGGUUGACCUCCAAAUUACCUUUGGCACUUAUGCUCUACUGAUGACAAUUUUAACAUGGCUGUCAAACCACUUUACUGUUUGCCCAACAGAGGUGACCAAGCAUAAGUUUAUGGCUAAAGCACAUGCAUAAUUAUUGAACACAGAGAGGUAAAUUAGAAUGAUGUAAAAUUCAAAAUGGCUGUUGACCUUUGAUUCCUAUAUUAUUUAUAACACUUUUGCUAUUAAGUACUUAUAUAGUUAACAAUUUUUAACAUAAUUUAAUAGAUAAAUACAUUUACACAAUUCCAGGACACCUAGAAGGUAAUUAGCGCAUGGAGGCUAUCUUUGUUUUGAAAUUGUGUAGAACGUGUUGUGCCAACAUUUCUGAGAAGAUAUUUGAAGAACUUUGCAUGAUCCAAUAUGUCCCCCAAACCCUGUGAUCAUUUCUCUUCUCUUGAACAAAUCUGGAUAUAGGUAACUCCUAACCUCACAAAUAAAUUUGUAGCAUAAUGGGGUGGUUUAGAAGGGGAUGUUUGAGUAUUAUGUGGUCGGUCACCAAAAUCAAUAUGGCUGCCAGACUGUGACCUACUUCCUUUUGUUGCAAAAGACGUAGCACACUAGGUCUCUACCACUGCACUGAGUUUCAAGAAUGUUUAAUACAGUUGUUUGGGUUUUAUAGCCAUUUGAAGAAACUGUACUAUGAGUAAUAAUAAUCUGAACAAAAACAAUAUGUUGCCUAACAACUUUGUUGCUUGGCCACCUAAUAAAAUAUAAUACUUUGGACAAAAAAAAAUGGGUUGUUCAGCAACUUAGUUGUGUGGCUACCUAAAUAUACACACACUAGAUAUAAAGUUGAAAAUCUAAAGUUAAAUCAAGAAAAUGUACUGCAUAGAUUGUACGUUUUAACCCAAAAAUAUUUAGUAGCAUUAUUCAAAAUUUCAGUGUUUUUUUUUUCAGAUUUACAUCCUGGUAUUAUGCAUUGCAUGGCUUAAUACAGUCUACUCUACACUUUGUAAAUAUAAACAGGCUUACUCACUGACUAAACUAUGAUCUGUAGUGAGCGAACCGUACUAUGAAAGGCAAAAUUUCUUCAAUACAAUAGUUACUGUUACAAUAGUGUGGGGAGUGCAACAUUUUGCCUUUUGGAUUUUUAUUCUCUAAACUUUGGAGUUGGUGAAUAACUUUGUAUAACUGUUUUGUACAUAGAAACAUUGAAUGCCUGUAUUGAUGACAGUGCUUUUUAAAUGACCAAACUGAAAUUUUUACUGCAGUAGGUUGAGAUCCAAAGCUGAAAAAGUAGGUAAUUUUAAGAAUUAUUUUAAAUUCAUCUGGCUUGACCCAAACUGUUAUUCCUUUGUUAAUUUUUCACAAGUCCAAGUUUAGUGAAGAAAAUCCUUUGUAGGUAUAAUUCUGGGGUGUUGUAAUGAAAUCAAAGCAUAUAACUAGGAAGGGUAUGUUUAGCUUUUGCUUGUUUUUACGCAUACCCUGGAUCUCAUGUUAUUAUUACCCAACUUAAUAUGCUCAUUUACUGAUUCCUGAGGAUGAAAGGUCAAGCUGACCUUGUCAAGAAUAAAAAACGUGAUUCUGAUGUACUGCACCCGGAACCUUAACUAUUGAGCUAUCUCAAAGGCAAUUCCACCCAGAAUGUUAUUUUUAUGGUUACAUUGCUUUCACAAGCAAAUGAAAAUGAAUUGAACAAUAAAUAAUUCAUCUACAAAACAAAAGUCUGGUAGAGAAAAAUUGAUUUGUUCCUUUUUAACAUUCAAGACCAAAACCUGUAGUUUAAUAUGUCACUAAAAAUGUAUUGAACUGGUGUAGAUGCUCGGUCCCAAACAUAUGUAUAUUGCAUUGUGUUACAGCAUUUAUGUGUUUGUGUAUAUGUAUGUAUAUCUGUUUAUUAUGCACACUACGUUUCCUCUAUCACUCAUCCUCUUCAAACCCAGUAGCACAUCCUUCUGUAACAGCAAAUUCGUAUGGCAUGUAGAAGAUUGAUAAUGUUAGGAUGGAAGUCAUCGACACAGGAAUCUAUUCUGAAGAGUUGUGUCCUCCAGCUCCCAAUAUAGAGGAGAUACAUUUAUUUUAAGAUACAACUCUCCUGCUCCCUAGAUUGUUAGCGUUUCGAAGCUGGAUCAAACAGUGAUAUAUUGUUAAGUACUAUUAUACCUGCCAGAAAAAAAAAAUCUAAAUAUAAAGAUAUAAAGUUUUUAAAAUUAAUAUAUUUUGUGUUCUUUCUUUCCGUGGUGUUAAUAAAAAUAAGAUUUAAUGUUAGCUCUUAGAGUGCAACAUAGAUCAAUAAGCAAGAGAGACUUUGGACAGAAGUAAGGGUUUAUGAGUAAAAGAUGAGGGAAGAUAAAAAGAUGUUGAAAGAAGAAAAUGGAGAAAAGAGGUGCUGAAGUGACAUCAGGAAAGCUGUUUGAAAAGGGGGGCAAAUAAUGCAUGGAGGUUUGUGUAAAUAAAAGCCAUGGGGUGUUGAAAGAGAACGCAAGGUAGAGAGACAGCAUGCGUAAAAAAAGACAGAGAUGUGGAUCUGUUUAUUAUCUCCUUUCUUCCCUACGCUUCUCUGGACAGACUUGAAAAUGAGAUUUACAUCAUCAUUUGUCGUGACUAUCAACAUAUUUAAGAUGGAACAGGAGUAAGAGAAGGACAAAGAGAGGGGGAGGCAGAGGGAAGGACAGGAGGUGUGGGAAUGAAGGAGACAGGUGGUGAGAGGAGAGGUGAGGGAGGACUGCGGGAUGAGUGCAGCAUUAGCUGAUUAUUGCAGCCUGUCACUCCUAGAGCUCAUUAUCCUGAUUCUCAUUGUAAUGAUACAAUAACUUCCUGUAGGAAGAGAGCGUGAAGGGAGACGAUUACUCUUUAUAUGCCUGAGAAUUAGAGUCUCCUAUCCCUGCCAGACAAAAUGUGCAUCUUCUAGAGUGUCUUUAAGAUCACCCCAGUUGCAAGAAAAAGUAUGUGAACCCUUUGGAAUGAUAUGG